rnacentral:sRNA from 1 species
AGCCGGGAGUGGCGGCCCGGCAGGAGGGGAGGCGGGGGCGGCGGGCGGUGGUAGAGGGAAGGCGACGGCCCCGGGGGGCGGCGGGCGGUGGUGGAGGGAAGGCGACGGCCCGGCGGCGGCGAACGGGAGCGGAAGCAAAACUCUUGUGUUCAUGUGUGUUCUUUUGUUCAUCUUUUGUGUUCAUGUUGUGUUCUUGAAGUGAAAGUGAAAUUGCUUG